AGUUUCGUUUUCGUAUUCGCUCUCGUGGUUGUAGACUGUAUUAACGGCGCUCCUUUCAACCGUUUUCGGCCUGGAAAAUCUCUCUUGGAGUUUCAUAAAAAUUUGUUUGGCGCGAGAAGAAAGAGCUACUUUCCUCGUGCGAUGUCUGUAAAGUAUGCCACUUUACAGUCUAACGUGUUGCGGAUGCAUCGGGAUUUUCUUCGCAACUUUUUCUCGCAGCACUCGAGGCGUGUUUCCAGUUAAUUCGAGCGAAGUGCUUCGAAGAUUGGCGGCGCUGUAGUAGCGUCGACGAGAUACCA
rnacentral:misc_RNA from 1 species